rnacentral:rRNA from 1 species
UGGUGGAGUGAUUUGUCUGGUUAAUUCCGUUAACGAACGAGACCGCUGCCUGCUAAAUAGUCCCGGGAGUGAAUUUCACUGCCGAGGACUUCUUAGAGGGACGUGCAUUCUUUUAGUUGCAGGAAGGUAGCGGCAAUAACA